rnacentral:rRNA from 1 species
UACAGAGGGUGCGAGCGUUAAUCGGAAUUACUGGGCGUAAAGCGCGCGUAGACGGUUUUGUAAGUCAGAUGUGAAAUCCCUGGGCUCAACCUGGGAACUGCAUUUGAGACUGCAUGGCUAGAGUAUCGAAGAGGGAAGUGGAAUUUCCGGUGUAGCGGUGAAAUGCGUAGAUAUCGGAAGGAACACCAGUGGCGAAGGCGGCACUCUGGGACGGUACUGGACGCUGAGACGCGAAAGCGUGGGGAGCAAACAGG